rnacentral:rRNA from 1 species
UACGGGGGGGGCAAGCGUUGUUCGGAAUUACUGGGCGUAAAGGGCGCGUAGGCGGCCUGCUAAGUCGGAUGUGAAAUCCCUCGGCUCAACUGGGGAACUGCCUUUGAAACUGUCGGGCUUGAGGCCGGGAGGGGGUAGCGGAAUUCCCAGUGUAGCGGUGAAAUGCGUAGAUAUUGGGAGGAACACCGGUGGCGAAGGCGGCUACCUGGACCGGUUCUGACGCUGAGGCGCGAAAGCGUGGGUAGCAAACAGG